rnacentral:rRNA from 1 species
UACGUAGGGGGCAAGCGUUGUCCGGAAUCAUUGGGCGUAAAGCGCGCGUAGGCGGCCCGGUAAGUCCGUUGUGAAAGUCAAAGGCUCAACCUUUGAACGCCGAUGGAUACUGCCGGGCUAGAGUCCGGAAGAGGAGAGUGGAAUUCCCGGUGUAGCGGUGAAAUGCGCAGAUAUCGGGAAGAACACCUAUGGCGAAGGCAGCUCUCUGGGACGGUACUGACGCUGAGACGCGAAAGCGUGGGGAGCGAACAGG